rnacentral:rRNA from 1 species
AUUGAACGCUGGCGGCAGGCCUAACACAUGCAAGUCGAACGAGUGGCGGACGGGUGAGUAAUGUCUGGGAACCUGCCCGAUGGAGGGGGAUAACUACUGGAAACGGUCGCUAAACCCGCAUACAAUCGCAUUUUCCCCGAUGGGAAUGUCUCGUAGGUGGGGUAACGGCUCACAUAGGCGACGAACCCUAUCUGGUCGCAGAGGAUGACACGCAAGACUUGAGCUGAGACGCGGCCCAGACUCCUACGGGGGGAGGCAGUGGGGAUUAUUGCACAAUGGGCGCAAGCCUGAUGCAGCCAUGCCGCGUUUAUAAAGAAGGCCUUCGGGUUGUAAAGUACUUUCAGCGAGGAGGCGUUACUGGCAGAAGAAGCACCGGCUAACUCCGUGCCAGCAGCCGCGGUAAUAC